UACAGAGGGUGCGAGCGUUAAUCGGAAUUACUGGGCGUAAAGCGUGCGUAGACGGUUAUGUAAGUUAGGUGUGAAAGCCCCGGGCUCAACCUGGGAAUUGCAUUUAAGACUGCAUAGCUAGGGUGCGGAAGAGGGAAGCGGAAUUUCCGGUGUAGCGGUGAAAUGCGUAGAUAUCGGAAGGAACAUCCGUGGCGAAAGCGGCUUCCUGGUCCAGCACCGACGUUCAGGCACGAAAGCGUGGGGAGCAAACAGG
rnacentral:rRNA from 1 species